rnacentral:rRNA from 1 species
ACGCGAAGAACCUUACCUGGGUUCGAAAUGCAGGUGUAAGCCUCAGAGAUGAGGUCCCCUCUUCGGAGGCACCUGUAUAGGUGCUGCAUGGCUGUCGUCAGCUCGUGUCGUGAGAUGUUGGGUUAAGUCCCGCAACGAGCGCAACCCUUGUCCAUAGUUGCUAACGGGUAGUGCCGAGAACUCUAUGGAGACUGCCGGUGAUAAACCGGAGGAAGGUGGGGAUGACGUCAAGUCCUCAUGGCCUUUAUGUCCAGGGCUACACACGUGCUACAAUGGGCGGUACAAAGAGUUGCGAUCCCGCAAGGGGGAGCUAAUCUCAAAAAGCCGCUCUCAGUUCGGAUUGUUCUCUGCAACUCGAGAGCAUGAAGCUGGAAUCGCUAGUAAUCGCGGAUCAGCACGCCGCGGUGAAUACGUUCCCGGGCCUUGUA